rnacentral:misc_RNA from 1 species
ACCAGAGUGCCUUCAGGCUCUCCAACCCACUGUGAACAUACCUACGUUCCCCCGGCGGGCCCAGCGCGCGGCGAGGUCCUCCCCGCCGCGCGUCCGCCGAGGGCAUCUCAAACCCGAUUUUAUGUCGUGUCUUCUGAGGGGCGAAAGCCCGUAAAACAAAAUGAAUCAAAACUUUCAACAACGGAUCUCUUGGCUCUGGCAUCGAUGAAGAACGCAGCGAAAUGCGAUAAGUAAUGUGAAUUGCAGAAUUCAGUGAAUCAUCGAAUCUUUGAACGCACAUUGCGCCCGCCAGUACUCUGGCGGGCAUGCCUGUCCGAGCGUCAUUUCAACCCUCGGGACCCCCCUCCGGGGCGGGACCCGGCGUUGGGGAUCGGAGGCCGCACCGGCCCCCCUCCCCCAAAUACAGUGGCGGUCGCGCCGCAGCCUCCCCUGCGUAGUAGCACACCUCGCACCGGAGAGCGGCUCGGCCACGCCGUGAAACACCCCACUUUCAAGGUUGACGCGGAUCAGGU